UCUAAUUUGACGCAUCGCUCACCGACCAUGGCCGAGGAGGGCCUUCCUUCCGGCCAAGCUGCCACGCCAACUGAAAUGGAACAGGAUCCAACGGACACUCUUUCAUCCUCGAGGACCUCGAACCCCGCUUUCUGCCAGAUGUCGACAGUUAUUUCUAAAAUGGUAGUUGAAGCCUCUCAUGAAGCCAACCUUCUCCAUGUGCGAGCUUGCCUGCACUGCGUCAUUCUAGUGAA
rnacentral:lncRNA from 1 species